rnacentral:tRNA from 1 species
GGAACUGUGCCUGAACAAAGGGUUACUUUGAUAGAGUAAAUAAUAGAGGACACCACCCUCUCAUUUCCU